GACAGAGGGGGCAAGCGUUGCUCGGAAUUACUGGGCGUAAAGGGCGCGUAGGCGGAUAGUACAGUCAGGCGUGAAAUUCCUGGGCUCAACCUGGGGGCUGCGUUUGAUACGUAUUGUCUGGAGUUCGGAAGAGGGUCGUGGAAUUCCCAGUGUAGAGGUGAAAUUCGUAGAUAUUGGGAAGAACACCGGUGGCGAAGGCGGCGACCUGGUCCGAUACUGACGCUGAGGCGCGAAAGCGUGGGGAGCAAACAGG
rnacentral:rRNA from 1 species